rnacentral:rRNA from 1 species
CUACGGGAGGCAGCAGUGAGGAAUAUUGCACAAUGGGGGGAACCCUGAUGCAGCAACGCCGCGUGGAGGAUGGCGCAUUUCGGUGUGUAAACUCCUUUUAUAUGUCAAGAAAAUGACGGUAGCAUAUGAAUAAGCACCGGCUAACUCCGUGCCAGCAGCCGCGGUAAUACGGAGGGUGCAAGCGUUACUCGGAAUCACUGGGCGUAAAGGACGCGUAGGCGGGUUGGAAAGUCAGGUGUGAAAUCCUACAGCUUAACUGUAGAACUGCACUUGAAACUUCUAAUCUAGAGUAUGGGAGGGGGAGAUGGAAUUAGUGGUGUAGGGGUAAAAUCCGUAGAUAUCACUAGGAAUACCUAAAGCGAAGGCGAUCUCCUGGAACAUUACUGACGCUAAGGCGUGAAAGCGUGGGAGCAAACAGGAUUAGAUACCCCCGUAGUC